AUUGAACGCUGGCGGCAUGCUUUACACAUGCAAGUCGAACGGCAGCACAGGGAGCUUGCUCCCGGGUGGCGAGUGGCGCACGGGUGAGUAAUACAUCGGAACGUGUCCUGUUGUGGGGGAUAACUGCUCGAAAGGGUGGCUAAUACCGCAUGAGACCUGAGGGUGAAAGCGGGGGAUCGCAAGACCUCGCGCAAUUGGAGCGGCCGAUGCCCGAUUAGCUAGUUGGUGAGGUAAAGGCUCACCAAGGCGACGAUCGGUAGCUGGUCUGAGAGGACGACCAGCCACACUGGGACUGAGACACGGCCCAGACUCCUACGGGAGGCAGCAGUGGGGAAUUUUGGACAAUGGGGGCAACCCUGAUCCAGCCAUGCCGCGUGCAGGAUGAAGGCCUUCGGGUUGUAAACUGCUUUGUCAGGGACGAAAAGGACCGUGUUAAUACCAUGGUCUGCUGACGGUACCUGAAGAAUAAGCACCGGCUAACUACGUAG
rnacentral:rRNA from 1 species